GUGUACUUAGCUCAAUGGUUAGAGCAUCACUCAUGAAUGCUGAGUAUGUGAGUUUGACUCUCACAGUAGACG
rnacentral:tRNA from 1 species